UACGUAGGCAGCAAGCGUUGUUCGGAGUUACUGGGCGUAAAGGGUGCGUAGGUGGCUCUAUAAGUAUGGUGUGAAAUCUCCCGGCUUAACUGGGAGGGUGCGCCGUAGACUGUGGGGCUAGAGUGUGGGAGAGGAAAGUGGAAUUCCUGGUGUAGCGGUGAAAUGCGUAGAUAUCAGGAGGAACACCGGUGGUGUAAACGGCUUUCUGGACCAUAACUGACACUGAGGCACGAAAGCCGUGGGUAGCAAACAGG
rnacentral:rRNA from 1 species